rnacentral:rRNA from 1 species
CAAUAGCGUAUAUUAACGUUGUUGUGGUUAAAAAGCUCGUAGUUGAACCUUGGUCCCGCGCCCGCCGGUCCGCCUCACCGCGUGCACUGGUGCGGCCGGGGCUUUCUCCUGGGGGUCCGCAUGCCCUUAACUGGGCGUGCGAGGAACCAGGGCGAUUACUGUGAAAAAAUUAGAGUGUUCAAAGCAGGCCUAUGCUCGGAUACAUUAGCAUGGAAUAAUGGAAUAGGACGCGCAGUUCUAUUUUGUUGGUUAUGGGACCGCCGUAAUGAUUGAUAGGGACAGUCGGGGGCAUCAGUAUUCGGCAGUCGGAGGUGAAAUUCUUGGAUCUGCCGAAGACUAACUACUGCGAAAGCAUUUGCCAAGGAUGUUUUCAUUAA